CAGUACAUGUAUUAUUUAGUUUUUUAUUUAAUCAAGAGUCCAAUUUAAUUAAAGGAAUUCCAGCAUUUUUCUAUCAUAUCAAAUUAAGACAUUCAUUCUAAUAUCUGGAAAUGUAUUUCCUAAUCCUACUCCCAAGUCCCAAAGGAUCGGAUUCAUUAACCAAUUGCGAUUUUUCGAAUUUUGAACCCGUACCUGUACUAGCUGAACCAGCAUAUCGGAAAACGUAGCCCAUAGUCAAAGGAGGUACAAAUCUUUCUGACUCAAUAGUCCCGUCUAAGGUUUGUGUCAA
rnacentral:lncRNA from 1 species